rnacentral:rRNA from 1 species
UACAGAGGGUGCGAGCGUUGUCCGGAAUCACUGGGCGUAAAGCGCGUGUAGGCGGCUUUGCAAGUCGGGUGUGAAAGCCCUCGGCUCAACCGAGGAAGUGCGCCCGAAACUGCAGAGCUCGAGUGCCAGAGAGGGUGGCGGAAUUCCCCAAGUAGAGGUGAAAUUCGUAGAUAUGGGGAGGAACACCAGUGGCGAAGGCGGCCACCUGGAUGGUGACUGACGCUGAGACGCGAAAGCGUGGGGAGCAAACAGG